GUGCCAGCAGCCGCGGUAAUACGUAGGUGGCAAGCGUUAUCCGGAAUUAUUGGGCGUAAAGCGCACGUAGGCGGUUUUUUAAGUCUGAUGUGAAAGCCCACGGCUCAACCGUGGAGGGUCAUUGGAAACUGGAAAACUUGAGUGCAGAAGAGGAAAGUGGAAUUCCAUGUGUAGCGGUGAAAUGCGCAGAGAUAUGGAGGAACACCAGUGGCGAAGGCGACUUUCUGGUCUGUAACUGACGCUGAUGUGCGAAAGCGUGG
rnacentral:rRNA from 1 species